rnacentral:tRNA from 1 species
GUUUUAAUAGUUUAAAAAAAACUUUGGUCUUGUAAACCAAUAAUGAAAACUUUUUUCUUAAAACU